ACUUGUUGGAACGUUACCUGGUUGUUGGACCGGUCCGGUCUUUAAUCCAUCGUUCGAGAGCGCGCUCCCUUGCGAACCGGUCUGACGGUUCCUUCCUCCCGGAGACGGCCCGAUGCUGCUUUCCGAGCUCUCGUCCUCUCACCUCCGCCGUCAAGGCUCCAAAACCCUCCUCGCCUACCUCCACCGCCGCCGCCUCGGAGUUCUUCUCUCCUUCUCCUCCUCCUCCGUCACCACCGCCACCGCCGCCGCUGCCGUUAAGGGCUCAUCUCCCGGACCCCAGUUCAUGUUGGAGUACCUCAUCACGUCCUGUGGCCUCUCCCCGUCCGAGGCUGCCAAGGCCUCCAAGCACCUCCGUCGCAUCGAAUCCCCUCAACGGCCGAACUCCGUCCUUGGUUUCUUCAAAAGCGAGGGUUUUGACGACGCCGACAUAAAAAAGAUCGUAUCUCGUCAUCCCAGAUGUCUCGGCUUCGACGUGGAGAAGACCCUGGCCCCAAAGUUCAGAGCUUUACGAGAUCUCGGCUUCUCACGGUCCGAUCUCCCCCCCCUCGUCCUCUCCAAUCCUUCCGUCCUCAACUUUAGGUUACACCGCACCCUCCUUCCUAGGAUUGAGCUUUGGAGGAAUCUUUUCGGCUCCAUGGAGCUCCUGAAGAAAUUUCUCAAGAGGAAGAAUUGGUUUCUGGGUUGCAGCAUCGAGAAGAAGAUCCUUCCCAACCUCUCACUCCUGCGGGACUACGGCAUUCCAGACAUGGGAAUCUCUCUUAUGAUGAAGCGACACCCAUCACUCAUUGUCCGGAGGCCAGAUUCACUCCGGCAUUUAGUCGGUCGCGUCGAGGAGCUGGGCGUACGACCCCAUUCGGGGAUGUUCGCCUGGGUCCUUCAAACACUCCACACAUUCAGCAAAGCUAGAUUCGCGGCCAAGAUGGAGCUCAUGAGGAGCUUUGGGUGGUCGGAGUCAGAGUUCCUGACGGCAUUCUCUAAGGCGCCUGUCAUCUUGACUGUAUCCAAGAAGGUGAUGCAGAGAAAGAUGGAAUUUUUGGUGAAGGAAGCUGGGUGCACGCCCUCCUAUGUCGCUCGCUACCCAGUGCUUCUGAUGUAUAGCUUGGAUAAGAGAUUGGUUCCUAGGUACCGAGCCAUGGAGAUUUUGAAGUCAAAAGGCUUGCACGCUAUGAAAUGCCAACUGUACGGGAUCAUGUGUGUCUCAGAGAAGGAUUUUUUUGAGAAAUUCAUUCUCUGCCACAAAGAGAAAGUGCCCGAACUGCAUGAAAUUUUUACUGCAGGCUGCAAAAAGGCUGCCUCCUAAUUCAGGAUUCUAUAAAGAACGUGAAGGGCUUGCCUUGUUGCAGGUUCAUUUAUUUUUCAUAAACUUACGUAUGACUGUCAUGUUUCUUUAACAAUUAGACAAGCAGUGCGUCUGAAAACUUUUUAAGUAGAACUUUUAAGCAUUUAAUUUGGCAACAUAUAUUCAUAGUAUUGUAGAAGACAAUGGAUCUUUAUUUGAUUGAGAAAGUGCAAGAAGCUUGCACGAUCACUUUAACAAGCCAAUGAAGAUUUUAAUUAUGUAUCGCCAUUCUGAAAAUCAUUUGUUCCUUUAUAAGAAUUAUGAGCAUCACAUAUUCCAAUGAAGUCACAUAUAUUCUUGUUCUUGUUUAUGUUUAUCUAUGUGAGUUCUUCUCAACUGCUUUCAAGCUGAUUGGGUCUUACGCACUUGUGCUAUGCGCAGCAUUUUAAAGUAGGCUUCAUAUUCUGUCAAUAUUAUAUGAGUAUACACUUCUGUCCAUUGUAAGACAUUCAGAACAUUUGUCUAUGGUGACAAAAGGUUAAAAACUGAUGGUCCGAGUAUUAUGUAUCAAUCUCUUGCAGACAAAGUGAUAUAGUUUGGUGGUUCUAAAUGCUAAUCUUAAAACUUCCUGGCAUUGUGAGAUAUACAAUAUUCUCGAGAUAGAUCCUCUUGUGGUUCUAAGGUAUGAUGAUGUGUAGAAGAUGUGCUACAGAAGCAUGAAUGUGGAGCCAAUUCAAGCUCACUUCCUCUUUCAGUAGAAGUUAUCCAAUCUAUUCAUUCACUGGUCUAUGCCGUCAGGAAUUUGUUCGAACCCAUUAGUCCUCAAAGAAGCUGCAGUAUCCAUAUUUUAUUUUAUAUUCAGUUUGACAGAGAAAUUGACCUGCUGAAUAUUUGGUGCUUUAUCUGCUCCGAAAGUGUUAGAAGUUGUUUGAAUGUUUUGUGCAGGCUGGUGGUCACUUGCUGCCUUCUUGUCCAAGUGACUGCUGUUAGUGAGCUUUUCUGGUAUUUUGUUCCUUCAUUUCUUGUGAACCUGCUAGAAUCAAGACCUGUUGAUUCGGGGCUGAAAUGGCUUAUCUCAUCAUAGGUUUUAGGUCUCAGAAUUUUGUGGUGUGGGAAAAGGCUACACUACUUGCUAGAAUACAACUUUUAUCAGCGGUCAGGAUUCUCCAA